rnacentral:lncRNA from 11 species
GCCAGUUUAAUGCAUUCUUAUGAAUCCUAAAUGGAUUUUUAAAAGAAAAGAAAGAAAGAAGAAAAACUACAGAUAAGCUGUACUGUCAUCACCUGGCUGGAGAUGAAGACGGAAAAAGAAUAGUUUGUCUAUGGAAGGCAUAGGGAACGCAUGUAAG